UGUUUAUAACUGUCCUCACUGUGUUCCAUACAAUAUCUAAUGCCUUGUAAAAAAAAAAAAAAAAAAAAAAAAAAUUGUAGCCUUCACCUGAGCAAUACAUUUCAACAAUGAGAUGACAUUGAUUCCUUUGUAAGCUCUUUGUGGCCCAUGGCUCUUGCAUGCACAAAAUCAGUCACAGUUUAAAUUUAACUCGCAGAGCAAAAGCUUAUACAUCAGGCUCAGUUCCUUUAAUUUCUUCCAAAAACAGGAUCUGUCACCAAGACUUGGAGGGAUGUGAAAGAGUGCCACGUAAGUCUAUAAACCACUCCUGUGGUUUAAUAAGAACACAGACCUAUAUGUUAAAGUAAUGUGCCCAACACUGUAAAAAAAAUACUGUAGUAAUGCAAGUUUGGACUUUAUCAGUAUGCAUAAUGCGAGAGCAAUCUGGUUGUCUUUUUUAUUUAUUAUACAAUAUCACAACAUCAAGCCUGUUUUAUUUUAGUCAGAACAGUCUAAGAAAUCCCCUUAAAAAUCCCCAUGAAAAGAACCAAUAAUUUCGGUUAAUUUCAGCUUCCACUGUAAUAUCAUCUGUUGCCAGAGCAGAAAGAUUUUAGAAUAGCCUUCACUGGCCCUGAAAUACUGCUCACUGCUGCCACCCUCUGUCUGCACGAGCUUCUUUAUGGGAUUAAAUUCCCACCUAAAGUAUUGCGGCCACGGAUCAAAAAAUAAUAUGCAUUAAUCAAAUAUUUAAAAACACAUGUAAAAACAUAUUGCACAAACUCUAGCAAAUAAUGCAAAAUGAUCAGAAUAGCAAACAAUGUGGUCACGGAUCAAAAUAUAAUAAGAUAUAAUAAGCGCAUUUAAAAAAAAUAACAAGCAUGAAUCAAAACUAUAAACACACAAAUUAUAUUGCACAAAUCUUAAAUCAUAAACUUGUGUUUAUGUGUUCUUAAAAGUUGUUUUCCUUGCUUUUAUUACUCUGUACUUUGUGCUCUCUUACAUUUUCUGCUCAUAUUUUACUCUUUUGUACGCUUGUGCUGUUUUUCUCUUUCUCUUUCUCUUCUUUCCACGUUCCGCGCUUGCUUUUCCAAAUGUUGCAGUUUGAGUUUCAUGUAAAUUAGGGCGGGCUUAAGUGUCACCAUUGGUCCACUAGUUCUAGAUUGACAGUUCCUCCUCUAGCCAAUCAAUAGAAGAGAGGGAGAUGACAUAACUUUAAUUCGACUCAUGGCUACUGAUGCUCACACAGGCUGCGUCCGAAACCGCCUACUGAAUGAGUAGGUACUUAAUUUCAAUAAGUACUUACUUAACGAGCGCUAAAAGAGUCCUGCAAUAAAAGUAAAGAUAUGAGCGACAGGUGCACUAACACCUCACAGCACCAGUAACUCCACAACCCUACCUAGUGUGGUUUUCCUCAGUGUUUGCAAUGUCUGCACAAAGACGACGUUGGGCAGCUGCUCGAAGAUCUCGCCUUUGAAGAAGACUGUUGAUUUUAUACUCAAAAAAUGGACAUCGUUGAUCCAGAGGAUGAGGAAGACCAUGAUGAUGGACCCCUGCACCCCACAACCUUGAAGCAAGAGUGGGAGAAGAUGUGCGGGACAAUCUGGCUGCUGCUGUUUCUGCUCCAAACAUUUGUGUGCCUGCUCUCCAU